GAUGAACGCUAGCGACAGGCCUAACACAUGCAAGUCGAGGGGCAGCACAAGGUAGCAAUACUGAGGUGGCGACCGGCGCACGGGUGAGUAACGCGUAUGCAACCUGCCUGUAACAGGGGGAUAGCCUCUUGAAAGAGAGAUUAAUACCGCAUAAUACAGUUGAACGGCAUCGUUCGACUUUUAAACAUUUAUGGGUUACAGAUGGGCAUGCGUUUCAUUAGGUAGUUGGUGAGGUAAUGGCUCACCAAGCCGACGAUGAAUAGGGGUUCUGAGAGGAAGGUCCCCCACACUGGUACUGAGACACGGACCAGACUCCUACGGGAGGCAGCAGUGAGGAAUAUUGGUCAAUGGACGCAAGUCUGAACCAGCCAAGUCGCGUGAAGGAUGAAGGUAUUAUGUAUUGUAAACUUCUUUUGUCAGGGAAUAAUGACCGCUACGUGUAGCGGAGAGGAAUGUACCUGACGAAUAAGCAUCGGCUAACUCCGUGCCAGCAGCCGCGGUAAUACGGAGGANGCGAGCGUUAUCCGGAUUUAUUGGGUUUAAAGGGUGCGUAGGCGGNUUGUUAAGUCAGUG
rnacentral:rRNA from 1 species